UACGAAGGGGCUAGCGUUGCUCGGAAUACUGGGCGUAAAGGCGCGUAGGCGGCACUGUUAGUCAGGCGUGAAAGUCCUGGGCUCAACCUGGGAACUGCGCUUGAUACGGCAGAGCUAGAGGAUGGAAGAGGCUCGCGGAAUUCCCAGUGUAGAGGUGAAAUUCGUAGAUAGUUGGGAAGAACCACCGGGUGGCGAAGGCGGCGAGCUGGUCCAUUACUGACGCUGAGGCGCGACAGCGUGGGGAGCGAACAGG
rnacentral:rRNA from 1 species